rnacentral:tRNA from 2 species
GCCGGAGUGGCGGAAUUGGCAGACGCGACGGACUCAAAAUCCGUUGUCCCUUGUGGACUUGAGGGUUCGAGUCCCUCCUCCGGUACCA